UAGUGUGGAAGGCAGUCACUAAGUUUGGUCUAAUGGAGACCACAUACGAAGAUCUAAUUCAACACCAUGAGUUACCCCCAGAAGUUAAAUAGGUCCCUAAUUCAGCCUGCUGCAUAAGGUUGUAUCAUAAAAGAGAAAUGGGUUCUGCUCCCUGCUUAAUAAGAAAUCCUGCUUACUUCUCCAGCUUUUGAAGCACAGGUUUUAUGUUUGUUUGGGAUAGAAUCUCAUUCUGUCACCCAGGCCAGAGAGCACUGACAUUAUCAUGGCUCACUGCAACCUCAAACUCCCAAGCUCAAGCGAUCCUCCCACCUCAGCCUCCCAAGUAGCUGGGACCACAGAUUCACCUGUUUGCUUCCUAAGACAGAAAAUAAAUAGGAGGAAAAGGAUCAGAGUCAAAAUUCUGAGAAAAAAAAAAAAUCUGGGCCAUCCAUCCAUCACAAGUGUUCCAAGUAGAAGAAUCCCCUGUAAAAGGAGAUGAGCAUGUUCAAGUAUUAAGCACUUAAAAUGAAGAUUAUGUUUGGAAAUCAAAAUAUAAUUUUGAUAACCCAUUAAAAGUAAUGAAAUGGAGAAAACAA
rnacentral:lncRNA from 10 species